GGAUAAAGUUUGCAAUAUAUAUAAUUCAAUCAUAGUCAAUUCAAUGUAUCAUACAAUCAAUAUAUGACAUUCAAACAUUCAAACAAGAUAACACACAACAUAAAGAUAAAUAUUCAUUUGAAGACAAGAAAAGUUUGGCAUUGAAAAGCAUAAAAGUUUUACAUUAUAAGGGGUGCCUAUCCUUCAAAAAGUGAUACAACUAGGAUCAAAUAGAACGACCA
rnacentral:lncRNA from 1 species